GCGCUCGUAGCUCAGUCGGAUAGAGCGGUGGUUUCCGGUACCACGUCUGUCGGGGGUUCAAGUCCCUUCGAGCGCG
rnacentral:tRNA from 1 species